GAUGAACGCUGGCGGCGUGCCUAAUACAUGCAAGUCGAGCGAACAGACGAGGAGCUUGCUCCUCUGACGUUAGCGGCGGACGGGUGAGUAACACGUGGAUAACCUACCUAUAAGACUGGGAUAACUUCGGGAAACCGGAGCUAAUACCGGAUAAUAUAUUUAACCGCAUGGUUCAAUAGUGAAAGACGGUUUUGCUGUCACUUAUAGAUGGAUCCGCGCCGCAUUAGCUAGUUGGUAAGGUAACGGCUUACCAAGGCAACGAUGCGUAGCCGACCUGAGAGGGUGAUCGGCCACACUGGAACUGAGACACGGUCCAGACUCCUACGGGGGGCAGCAGUAGGGAAUCUUCCGAAAUGGGCGAAAGCCUGACGGAGCAACGCCGCGUGAGUGAUGAAGGUCUUCGGAUCGUAAAACUCUGUUAUUAGGGAAGAACAAAUGUGUAAGUAAAUAUGCACGUCUUGACGGUACCUAAUCAGAAAGCCACGGCUAACUACGUG
rnacentral:rRNA from 1 species